GACGGAGGAUGCAAGCGUUAUCCGGAAUGAUUGGGCGUAAAGCGUCCGCAGGUGGCAGUUCAAGUCUGCUGUCAAAGACCGGGGCUUAACUUCGGAAAGGCAGUGGAAACUGAACAGCUAGAGUAUGGUAGGGGCAGAGGGAAUUCCUGGUGUAGCGGUGAAAUGCGCAGAUAUCAGGAAGAACACCCGUGGCGAAGGCGGUUCUCUAGGACGGUACUGACGCUGAGACGCGAAAGCGUGGGGAGCGAACAGG
rnacentral:rRNA from 1 species